GUCGACAGGGUUACUUUGAGGAAAUCAGAGUGCUCAAGGCAAGCGCACGCUCGUGACUUCACUAGCAUGGAAUAACACAGAUGGGCUCUUUUUCGCAACGUUGGUCUGCGUCAAUCGAGCAACGAUCGAUAGAGACGGUCGGGGGCAUUCGUAUUGCGCAGUUAGAGGUGAAAUUCUCCGAUCUGCGCAAGACGCACUAAUGCGAAAGCAGUUGCCAAGGACGUCCUCUUAUGAUCAAGAGCGAAAGUCGGGGGAUCAAAGAUGAUUAGAUACCGUCGUAGUCCCGACCAUAAAUGAUGCCGACUGAGCGUCGGCGACUCGGCCUUCGGCCGUACGUCGGCGCUCUUGAGAGAAAUUAAAGUCUUUGGGCUCCGGGGGUAGUAUGGUCGCAAGUCUGAAACUUGAAGGAAUUGACGGAAGGGCACCACAAGGCGUGGAUGUUGCGGCUUAAUUUGACUCAACACGGGGAAGCUUACUAGGUUUGGACACUUGAAUGAGGGACAUAUUGAAGCUCUUACCUUUUUUUGUGGAUGGUGGUGCAUGGUCGUUCUCAGCCCGUGGGUUGACCUGUCAGGUUUACUCCGGUAACGCGCGAGACCUCGGUUUGCUAAAUAGACGCGGCUGUCUCGGCACCCGCGUUCUUCUUAGAGAGAGUCUCGACGAGAGUCGAGGGAAGUCGAGGCAAUAACAGAUCUGUGAUGCCCUUAGUUAUCCUAGGUCGCACGCGCCAAACAAUGUCGCUUACAACGAGUUCCUAGGCCGACAGGCGUUCUCCUUCGAGCGCGGUCGUGGCAGACCCCGAGGGCCAGUCGCUCCGAGAGAGCGGCCGUCCGAGGGCGUCCACGCGCCUCCGCGCCGAUCGAGAUCGACCGGGCAAUCUUGCAGAGAGCUACGUGACUGGGCUAGACUCUUGUAAUUGUUGGUCUUCAACGAGGAAUGCCUA
rnacentral:rRNA from 1 species